CCAGAUCUCGCGGCCUAUCAGCUUGUUGGUGGGGUAACGGCCCACCAAGGCUUCGACGGGUAGCUGGUCUGAGAGGACGAUCAGCCACACUGGGACUGAGACACGGCCCAGACUCCUACGGGAGGCAGCAGUGGGGAAUCUUGCGCAAUGGGCGAAAGCCUGACGCAGCAACGCCGCGUGGGGGAUGAAGGCUCUCGGGUUGUAAACCCCUUUCAGCAGGGACGAUAGUGACGGUACCUGCAGAAGAAGCCCCGGCCAACUACGUGCCAGCAGCCGCGGUAACACGUAGGGGGCAAGCGUUGUCCGGAUUUAUUGGGCGUAAAGAGCUCGUAGGCGGCUCAGUAAGUCAGGUGUGAAACCUCCAGGCUCAACCUGGAGACGCCACCUGAUACUGCUGUGGCUAGAGUCCGGUAGGGGAGCGUGGAAUUCCUGGUGUAGCGGUGAAAUGCGCAGAUAUCAGGAGGAACACCAGCGGCGAAGGCGGCGCUCUGGGCCGGAACUGACGCUGAGGAGCGAAAGCGUGGGUAGCAAACAGGAUUAGAUACCCUGGUAGUCCACGCCGUAAACGUUGGGCACUAGGUGUGGGUCACAACCAACGUGAUCUGUGCCGUAGCUAACGCAUUAAGUGCCCCGCCUGGGGAGUACGGAAGCUUGGAAUUCG
rnacentral:rRNA from 1 species